rnacentral:rRNA from 1 species
ACGCUAUUAGAUGGAUGACUCGGCUCAAGAGGCGAUGAAGGGCGUGGCAAGCUACGAAAUUCUAUGGCGAGGCGCAUGCAGCUUUUGAACCAUAGGUUCCUGAAUGAGACUUCUUGUUCUUCGGAACAGUCCGCAAGGACGGCCCACCCAGGGAAGUGAAGCGUCACAGUACCUGGAGGAAAAGAAAUCAAACGAGAUGCUGUUAGUAAAGGCGAUCGAAAGCAGCAUAAGGCAAACUGAAUCUUACCGGAAAACGGUUAAGAGAUGUGGUGUUGCAGGACUUGUUUUUAGCCCUAACUACUCGAUCCAAAGUCUGCUGGAAAGCAGUGUCAUAGAGGGUGAUAGCCCCGUAGGAGUAGAGUAGUGGGUGUACAAGUAUCCUGAGUAGGAUGCAUUGGAAAUUGCGUCUGAAUUUGGGAGGCAUCAACUUCCAACCUUAAAUACAACUUGAGUCCGAUAGCGAAUACGUACAGUGAUGGAACGUUGAAAAGAACUCGUAACAGAGAGUUAAAAGAUCCUGAAAUCUAAUAGUUAUAGUAAGAUACUGCUCUACGGAGUUGUAUCGUACGUUUCGAAUAACGGGCCAGGGAGUUCAUCUUUGUGGCACGGGUAAUUGUUUAAGCAAGAACCCACAGGGAAACCGAUUUUCCGCAGCUUCUUCGUGAAGUCAGGGAUGUGGUGUGAAAGUGCCAUGAGUCACAAGGAUGUUACCCGAAACCGGGCGAUCUAACCUACAGCAGGAUGAAGUGGACCUGACGGUCUGUGGAGGUCCGAAGCGUUGCUGUGCGCAUGCGCUCGUAUGACUGUUGGUUAGGGGUGAAAAGCCAAUCGAGCUCGGUAAUAGCUGGUUCCUGCCGAAAUAAGCCUUAGUUUAGUCUCGAGCGAGAUAGUCUAUGCAGUAGAGCCACGGAUUUGUGAUUUUGGGGGAGAAAUCCUUCGGUUGCAUGUUCAACUCCAAACGUGUAGACAUCGUAGACCUCGGGAAAAAGGGGCGCGGGGUAAACCUGUGUCUCUAUGGGGGAACAACCCUGUCUAUGGUUAAGGUCCCAAAAUGUUUGCUAAGUGUUAAAGGGUGAAGGGUGUGCAUAAUCCGAGACAGCUGGGAGGUAUGCUUAGAAGCAGCAAUCCUUUAAAGAAAGCGUAAUAGCUCACCAUUCAAGAUUAUGUGCCCCGAAAAUGGACGGGACUAAGCAAACUACCGAUACCAUAGUCCGCCGAAAGGCGUGAGGUAGGCAGGCGUACCGCGUGGGCAGAAGCCCUCUCGUAAGAGAUGGUGGACCGCGUGGUAAUGAGAAUCCUGGCAUCAGUAGGAUCUAUAUACAGUGAGAAUCUGUAAUGCCGAAAGCCCCAGGGUUUCUUCGCAAUGUUCGUCAUCGAAGAGUAAGUCGGUCCUAACCCAUGGCCUAAUUGGUCUAGUGGGAAGGGGAAACAGGUUAAAAUUCCUGUACUGUGUAUGUACGUGCGGCAACGCAAGGCCUUUUUCUGACACUUCGGGCUAUACCGACAGUCGUCGUCGCGGCUGUUAACUAAGAUAAGUCUGGUGAGUAUCGUAAUGAUGAGACCCAGAUUAAAUUAGGAAUAGCGGUUCUGUGGACCGUUCGGUAGAUGCCUAGAGUCCGUGAAAAGGAAAAAGGCAAGGAUCAUACGCAUCCGUACCAAGAACCAACACUGGUGUGGCUAGCUGAGAAGGUUAAGGCAUGAAGGUUUAAACUAGUUUAGGGAAUUCGACAGAUUAGCUCCGUAGCUUCGGUUUAAGGAGUCCCUGCGCUCGUACACUUAGUGUGCGACUACAGGGUUCAAAUACUGGGGGGGUCCGACUGUUUAAUAAAAACGUAACGUCUCGCGAGCCUGCAAAGGUGUGUAUGGGACGUGACAUCUGCCCAGUGCCCGGAUCUCAAACCCUCUUUCAAGGGGGCUAAGGAUGGGUAAACGGCGGGGAUAACUAUGAUCCUCUUAAGGUAACGUAAUACCUUGCCGAUUGAAUGUCGGCUUGCAUGAAUGGUGUAACGAGGCCCCUAUUGUCCCAAACUAGUGUCCUCCGAACCUACUAUACUGGUGCGAAGGCCAGUGACCUCCAGUGGGAAGCAAAGACCCCGUAGAACUUUACUACAGCUUGUCGUUGCGGUAUAACGCUUGGUGUAUAGUAUAGGUGGGAGCUGUUUGAUGUCCGACUCGUCAGAGUCGGUCUAGGCAAAAGUGUAAUACCACCCUCCUUGUGUUGUAUUGCUAACUCUCUAAGAGAGGACACCGAUUGGUGGGUAGUUUGGCUGGGGCGGCACCCCGCUGAAACAGUAUCAGUGGGGCCCAAAGGUAAGCUCAUCAGGUUUGGAAAUCCUGAGUAGAGUGCAAGAGCAAAAGCUUGCCUAACUGGAUUCUAAACAUUACGGGAUCCAGGGACGAAAGUCUGGUCUAGCGAACCCCUAUGUCCUUAUUGAUGAGG